GCAUGGGUCUGUAUUUAAGACAGCCCUGUCUCCCUGGGCCUCUCAUAGUACCCCAUGCCAGAGCAAACCGUGUCUUCAAACCACUGCCUGGCCUCUAUUCCCCUAGGCUGCUGGCACUGAAGCAGAUUGCACAGUG
rnacentral:snoRNA from 1 species